AUACUCCCCAUGUACUAAACAAAUUAAAUAUCUACCUACUUCUUGUCACCAACUAAUCUCUUGGCUUUCUCUUCGUACAUGUGUAUAUAAAUAUUCCCAAACUUACCACAUCUUCAGCAUCCCUCAAACAAUCUUCAAAGAGAGCUAAUAUACCAGAGAAAGAGAGAAAGUAUUCAUGGCAUCCAAGAAGGCUGCUGUCAUGAUGGUGGCAGUGCUAGCUCUUCUGCUAGCUUUGUCUGCAACAGUUUCUGCUAGACCUGAUGUUCAUGUCUUGGAUCUUUUUGACCUACUAAGUGCCAAAAUCAUGUUUCACAGAACUUUGUGAGAGUGGUGCAUGGGAAGAAUAAAGGAAAUAACAUAGCAUGCUGUGAUGCUUGCUAUUGCACUAAAAGCUAUCCUCCACAAUGCAGAUGCGCAGACAUCUUCUCCGAUACAUCUCGAUGCAACGGCUGUGACGUUUGCAUCUGCGCGCUGAGCUAUCCCCCACAAUGCAGGUGUGUCGAUGUUACAGACUCUUGCAGCCCACCAUGCCCCGAUGAUGCAGCUUUCGUUCUGAAGAAUAAAGUUGCUACCAACUAAAUCGCCACUAUGUUAAGCACCAUAUGGGCUUGGCCAAUUGCCUCAAUGAGUACUGACGUUGAGGCUUUUAAAUAAAAUGUUAACCAAGUCUUUUCUAAAUAAAAAUGUUUGUGUUGGAAAUAAAAUUGGCUUUGAUUUCGUACA